UAAACAAAUCAUGAAAAUUGUCUAAUACAGAUAUUGGUGGUUAAUUGCAUCAUCACUACCAACAUUCACUAUCUUCCCAUUUCAAUAUCACGCAUUAUACAUCAUCGCAUACAAUCUAAUUCAAAUAAACUUUAUUACAAAUUCAUCACAAGUGUCUCUUCCACCAAAUAGGAUAAGAAGAGAUUUUAUCUCUUUUUAUCCUAUUUGGUUUUUUUAUAAAAGUAGACACUUUCAUUGGGAAAUAGGUUUUAAGUUACAACAAAUAUGUUAUAAUGAAGAGAUGAAAAAAUAUUUUUUUGAACUUCGUUGGCGACUUAAAAGUUUGCGUGCACUUUGUUGCGUCUAAUAUUUAUAUUGAAUGCUUUUUUUUUGCAACCCUAGCUGAAAAUGAGCUCUAGCUGUGAAAUACCAUCAUUGGAGCAGUAUGAAACUGAUGGCUUGUUCAUUAGUAUGAACGUAUCGCAUGAAUGAUUUCAACCAAAAUCAUUUGCCAUGAUUACCGCGUUGAUUUACAUACUCUAGCUGGCACCAGUUUAAACUGUUUUUGUUUUACGUGGUUGCUUUUUGACACUCUUAACUAACUUUUUUUUUUUUUAUUAGUUGUUCUUUAAAAUUUAUUAUCACAGCAUGAAUAAACUUAACGCUUCAUGUAAUUUAUUCUACUGCUCUUCGACAUUUAACGUCACAGCAGGAAAAUACUUGACACUACAUGAAUACUUUUUUUGCUGCUUUUAACAUUGGUUCACAGCAAGAAAAAAACCUUUAGAAUUACUGUAGAACGAGAGUGACUGGUAUGCUGUUUACUGCCCACAGCAAACAAUUUGAUUUUACGGAGUAAGAUGUAGCGAGGUGCCCCGAGAAGUCCUUACGGUUUUAUCACAAAGUACCGCGGAUGAGCAUUUAAUUGAAAGUUCACGCCUUCUUCCUAACCAAUGUCGCAAAGCUUGCCCAGAGCUGGGGUUUGAACCACGGAUCCUUUGUUUCCGCUACCACGGCGCCACGGCUGCUUAAUUGUUUCGUAGCUGGAUGUCAGCUCAUAAAGCUUUGCUAACAGCAUACUUUAUUAUAUGAUUCAAUAUCACACCAUUCGAGAACAAUCAUUUGAAUACGAUUGAAACCAUUUCUCGUAAGUAUUUAAAAGUGAUGAUACAAUCGUGUAAGCUUUGGUCAAGCAUGCGAGUCUAUAGCAAAGUAAAAUAUUACAGAUACCAAUGCGAAAAUGAAAAUUUAAAUAUCAUGAGUAACAGAGAAAGAUUUGAAAAUCUGGGUAAAGACCUUCAUGAGUUUUUUUUUAAAAAUAAAUAUAUGUUUAUAUUUA